GACGAACGCUGGCGGCGUGCUUAACACAUGCAAGUCGAACGGUAAGGCCCUUCGGGGUACACGAGUGGCGAACGGGUGAGUAACACGUGGGUGAUCUGCCCUGCACUUCGGGAUAAGCCUGGGAAACUGGGUCUAAUACCGGAUAGGACCCUGGGAUGCAUGUCGUGGGGUGGAAAGCUUUUGCGGUGUGGGAUGGGCCCGCGGCCUAUCAGCUUGUUGGUGGGGUGAUGGCCUACCAAGGCGACGACGGGUAGCCGGCCUGGGAGGGGGUCCGGCCACACUGGGACUGAGAUACGGCCCAGGCGACUACGGGGGGCAGCAGUGGGGAAUAUUGCACAGUGGGCGCAAGCCUGAUGCAGCGACGCCGCGUGAGGGAUGACGGCCUUCGGGUUGUAAACCUCUUUCAGCACCGACGAGGCGCAAGUGACGGUAGGUGCAGAAGAAGGACCGGCCAACUACGUGCCAGCCGCCGCCGUAA
rnacentral:rRNA from 1 species